CAGUAGCCACGGUAAAACAGAGGAUGCAAGCGUUAUCCGGAAUUACUGGGCGUAAAGCGCGCGCAGGCGGAUAGGUCAGUCUGUCUUAAAAGUUCGGGGCUUAACCCCGUGAUGGGAUGGAAACUGCCAAUCUAGAGUAUCGGAGAGGAAAGUGGAAUUCCUAGUGUAGCGGUGAAAUGCGUAGAUAUUAGGAAGAACACCAGUGGCGAAGGCGACUUUCUGGACGAAAACUGACGCUGAGGCGCGAAAGCCAGGGGAGCGAACGGGAUUAGAUACCCGUGUAGUCCCUGUCUCUUAUACA
rnacentral:rRNA from 1 species